GACGAACGCUGGCGGCGUGCUUAACACAUGCAAGUCGAACGGAAAGGCCCUGCUUUUGUGGGGUGCUCGAGUGGCGAACGGGUGAGUAACACGUGAGUAACCUGCCCUUGACUUUGGGAUAACUUCAGGAAACUGGGGCUAAUACCGGAUAGGAGCUCCUGCUGCAUGGUGGGGGUUGGAAAGUUUCGGCGGUUGGGGAUGGACUCGCGGCUUAUCAGCUUGUUGGUGGGGUAGUGGCUUACCAAGGCUUUGACGGGUAGCCGGCCUGAGAGGGUGACCGGCCACAAUGGGCCUGAGGUACGGCCCAGACUCCUACGGGAGGCAGCAGUGGGGAAUAUUGCACAAUGGGCGGAAGCCUGAUGCAGCAACGCCGCGUGCGGGAUGACGGCCUUCGGGUUGUAAACCGCUUUCGCCUGUGACGAAGCGUGAGUGACGGUAAUGGGUAAAGAAGCACCGGCUAACUACGUG
rnacentral:rRNA from 1 species